CAUUCCUUUAGUCAACUCUGAUUUGUUAAGGUGUACUUUCAUAAGUUUCGUAAUUCAUGGGAAUCCGUAAUGAUAGGAAAGAUAUAGGAUAAUCGAUUACGGAGAAACUUAUUCCGAAUUACAUGCAGUACUCUAUGUGUAAUAUAUAAGAAAAUUUCAAGCCGAUAUAAUGCAAUUUCGUUUUACAUGGGAUGUGAACACGGCUUUUGUAUGUGAAGUCAUGUUAAAACUUUAUGUUUUUGUGGUGUUUUUAAUCUGGAUGGGGAGCUGGGAUGCAUACGGGAUUUCUAUAUCCGAUGGUCGAUAUGAAGAUGUCAAUGUAAUAAUCAAAGACAGUAAUGCGGAAAAUCAGCAGCUUUUAGAAGCCAUAAAGGAAUCCUUUACAAACGCCUCAGCGCAUUUGUUUACAGCAACUCGUAACCAACUCUACUUCGGGAAAAUAAAAAUCAUUGUACCAAAAUCUUGGUCGAAGAAGUCUUGGUAUAAACAGAUGCCAGUCCGACUGUUUCAAAUGUCACACAUCAUCAUUGACAAAGAUGGAGGUUCAGCUAAAGCACAAGUACGAGGCUUGACUGAAUGUGGAAAAGGGGGAUCUUAUAUGCUUUUACCUCCGGUGUUCUUUCUGUCACGUGAUAAAAACAGAAAUAAUGGUGAAAUCAUUGUGCACGAGUGGGGUCACCUUCGAUGGGGAUUAUAUGAUGAAUAUCCAAUGAACAAGGAUCCCCACUUUUACCAAGCUGGAGGAAAAUGGGAACCCGUUAGGUGUAGUACGUCAGUUCAAGGAGUUAUUGCAGCAAGCAAUCAAAAAUGUAACCCAAACGUUACAAGUACUAAGAUGCACAAGGAUUGUAAAUUCUAUCCUCUCAAAAGCAAAUAUAGUAGUGCUAGUGUGAUGUAUUACCAGACACUAAAACUUUCAAUGUUCUGUGACAAAGAGGGUCCGGAUGUGGCGAAAGAACUUCAGCACAACAAACUUGCCCCAAGCAGACAGAACAAAAUGUGUGAUCAUAGAAGUGCCUGGGAAGUUAUGAGAGAACAUGAAGACUUCAAAGAUAGUCAAAGUCAACCCUCCUCGACCAACACUGUUCCUGAAUUUGAGUUUAUUCAAGAAUCUGCGAGUUACAGAGUGUUUGUUUUUGACGUCUCCUGGAGUAUGGACGGAAGUAGAAUAACAUACCUGAACCAGACUGCUGAGUACAUCAUACAAAAUAUUGUUCCAAAAGAUAGCUGGCUUGGAAUAGUGACAUUUGGCGACGACGCGAAUAUUACGAAGCACAUGAUACAAGUUGUGAAACAAGCUGACCGUGAAGAGCUUAAAAGAUGCCGUACCUAAGAAAGCAGAGUAUCAAAACACUUGCAUUCCUUGCGGUAUUACCAAAGCCAUAAAAAUUCUGAAAGAGUCGAUGGGGAAUCCUGAAAGUGGCGAGAUCAUUCUUCUCUCAGAUGGCAAAAACAACCUCGGUGAUAUACCUACCGUUCUGCAAAAGGCAAUAAAAGAAAAAGUCGUUAUACAUACGAUUGCGAUGG
rnacentral:misc_RNA from 1 species